rnacentral:rRNA from 1 species
CACGUUCGGAAACGGACGCUAAUACCGCAUACGUCCUACGGGAGAAAGCAGGGGACCUUCGGGCCUUGCGCUAUCAGAUGAGCCUAGGUCGGAUUAGCUAGUUGGUGGGGUAAUGGCUCACCAAGGCGACGAUCCGUAACUGGUCUGAGAGGAUGAUCAGUCACACUGGAACUGAGACACGGUCCAGACUCCUACGGGAGGCAGCAGUGGGGAAUAUUGGACAAUGGGCGAAAGCCUGAUCCAGCCAUGCCGCGUGUGUGAAAAAGGUCUUCG